ACUGCGUCACCGAGCGCGUCGUGGUCUUCUACUCCGCCGAUGGAGCCAGGCUCUUCUUCGAGUGUGACGGCGCCUUGCACGUGGUCAGCGCGCUCACGAGCCUCCACCUAUGUGCCCCGCUCUACGAUGCCUGUGACACUGAGCACGCCGCCCUCUGCUGCCAAAUCGGCGCCCACCGGGCCAUUCUCUGCGCCGGCCGUCGUGCGCUGCCGGACUGCGGCGGUGGAACCUCCCCCGUGGAUGCUUACACCAGCGGCUGCGCUCCCGCCGAGAUCGUCUGCAUCUUCUCCGUCGACGCAUCGUCGUCACAUGAGGACUUCGAUGCCUGGCUCGCCGACAACCUCCCCCAAAUCCUACACGAGGUUCAGGUACAACAUCUACUUGGGUUAAUUUCUAAAUUGCACUUCUUUUUUUCGCCUGUAUAUGCAAUUGAAGAAGACUCUUCUUGAUGAUCUUGCGUGCCAAAUCUUACAUGCACAGUUUGAUUGUGUGAUCCAGCGACAAAAUUCAUUGAGUAGUGGGAAUGGUAUAGAGAAGGGAGAAUGAUGAUAAUACAAAGUGGGUGAGAGAGUAUGAGUGAUUAGUGAAGGGGCAUAGUCUUGGUACUACACCAUCGUACAAACAAGGAAGUGGUUAGUGUGCUAUCUUUGAUGUAAAAAAGGAAGAUUUGUUUCCUGACUCAUCUAAUGGUGGAUCGAUGAUCUAAGAAGCAUAUUCAGUUCUUCUCUCAAUUUUUUGGUGCCAAGCUUGAUCUUUAUCCAACUGACUGACUGACUAAAAGUACCUUCUAAUCACUAUUGAACACAUAUAUUAGUUUGUUUGACUGUAUACACCACAUAAAGAGAAAAAAAUGAAUUCUAAAAAAGUUAGACAUAGAUACUACAGAACCAGUGGACCCUCAAGAAACAAAAGGCUCACCUGAAGGAUUUUUCCUUAAAAAAUGUAUUAAUUUGACUAUUUGAGUGUGCAAAAUGUGCAAUUGCAAUCUUUCCUUUUCAAGGAGAACAGGGGACUGCUACAUACUCAAUAUGGAUGGAGGCUAAUUAUUGAUCUUCCAAGUUAAAAAUUUGAAAAUAAAUUCAUUUAGUAAUGGAUAUAUGGUCAAGAAAGGAUGGCUUUCCUUAAAGAUACAUAACAAAAUCAUGUUCGUGUAUGUCCGACUGACAGAUGAAUCAAUAUCCUUUCAAGUUUCAACCCAGCAACCUUUGUGUACAUACAUGUGUUAUCAAGGAUGCACGGAUCCAUUGGCAUGCGUACCAGACAUCCCCUGACUAAUUCUAUCAGUGUCAUUCUUAACAAGGUAAGUAUGAUUGCCUAAUCUCUGAUUUUCUUAAUUGAUCUUUGGUCCUUGAUCCGUAAUGUCGUUAUAUUUUAUUGAUUUUAUAAAUGAUCUCAAACAGAAAUAUACCAUUUUUAGGCUACAGUUCCUAUAACUUGCCUUGUCAAUUUGAUAAAAUUACAUGUGUGAUGGAGGUUGUAACUUAUUACAGUUUACAUUGUCAAAAUUCUUCAAACCCUAUGUCGAUCCUCACUAUCUUUGAAACAAUCUGAUUUCUGUGUCAUUGCUAAGAAUAUGUAUAUAUUUGGUGUGCUAGAUUUUCUGAUGUAAGAGGAAGCUAUUCGACAAUCCUGCUCAAGUUGGUAUAGAUUAUAUCGAUUUUAUUCAGUAAAUAUUAAUGCUUGAUAGAUGAAAGGCUCCCUCUUCUGCCCUUCUUUUCUCCAUCCUCUGUAGGUCGCGAGCACAUGUGAAUCGUUGUCGUCAAGAGCAUGCUUGUGACAUCAUUACUAUACGUGAUGCAGCGCAAAAGGAUGUUGUCAGGAGUUAAGUGUUCAAGCGCAAUCUCUAGCCAAGUUUCCUUUGUUGUUGUGUUGAAUUUUCGGGAAAGGCAGCAAAGCAGCUCGUGGCAUCUGUGUCGCGCCUGCUCCGCCGCUGCCUUGACUCGCCGACGACAUCGCCCGUUGGGCUGCAGGGGUGCAAGACGACCGUGGGGCCCAUUGCAUGGGUGCUGAGUAUGCUUGAUUUCCAUGUCGGAGACGAAGGCCCUAGAGCUUGGUGGCUUUGUGACAAGUCGUGUGAGAUGAAGGUGGUGAACCAUCUCAAUAUGAAGCCAAGUAUGUGGUGGAUUUUCCAUGGAUGAUGGUAGACCGAUAGGCGGCUGGGUGCAUGAAUAAUUGUCAAGGUGGCCGAAGCUAGCGCUAUUUUUGUUGGACUGAAGGAAUUGUAUAAGUUAUUUCGAGGCUCCCUAGUGGUGGAGAUCGACUACGCAGUGGGGAAAGGAGCUAGGGGUUGAUUUUGUAAGAAGAUCAUUGUCCGACGCAAUUAUUGUUGAUAUUAAAUCCGCCGAAGCUCCUGGAGACCUUAUGGUUGCGGAAGGUGUCGCGGACCAAUUACAUGCUCUGCUAUGGAAGGAAAACGAUGCAGCCUUGACGUCGGCCUAAGUCUUGAUGUAAUCCUCAAAAGAGAUAUUGCUUGCAGAUUGGUUAUAUAGAAACAUGCAUGUUGUAGGACUGUUAAUUUUUGUUUUGGAAUACUAAGAUCUGUUCAGAUGCUUUC